UACACUUAAGUAUAAGAUGUACAGAAGUUUUUGAUAUUUCUGGAGGUGGUUUAAUUCCGUCAAGUGUAA
rnacentral:tRNA from 1 species